rnacentral:rRNA from 1 species
GGGGGCAACCCUUCAGUGUCGUAGUUAACGCGAUAAGCAUUCCGCCUGGGGAGUACGGUCGCAAGAUUAAAACUUAAAGGAAUUGACGGGGACCCGCACAAGCGGUGGAGUAUGUGGUUUAAUUCGAAGCAACGCGCAGAACCUUACCAGCUUUUGACAUGGAACGUUUGAGGACCAGAGAUGGUUUUCUUCAGUUAGGCUGGCGUUCACACAGGUGCUGCAUGGCUGUCGUCAGCUCGUGUCGUGAGAUGUUGGGUUAAGUCCCGCAACGAGCGCAACCCUUGCCGUUAGUUGCCAUCAGGUUGGGCUGGGCACUUUAACGGAACUGCCGGUGAUAAGNCCGGAGGAAGGUAGGGAUGACGUCAAGUCCUCAUGGCCCUUAUAGGCUGGGCUACACACGUACUACAAUGGCGGUGACAGAAGGGAGCGAAGGAGUGAUCUGGAGCGAAUCCUUAAAAGCCGUCUCAGUUCGGAUUGUUCUCUGCAACUCGAGAGCAUGAAGUCGGAAUCGCUAGUAAUCGUAGAUCAGCAUGCUACGGUGAAUACGUUCCCGGGUCUUGUACACACUGCCCGUCACACCAUGGGAGUUGGUUUUACCUUAAGGCGGUGAGCUAACCUGCAAAGGAGGCAGCCGACCACGGUAGGAUCAGUGANCUGGGGUGAAGUCGUAANCAAGGUACC